CAGUCGCCGCGGUAAUACGAAGGGGGCUAGCGUUGUUCGGAUUUACUGGGCGUAAAGGGCGCGUAGGCGGACUGAUAAGUCAGGGGUGAAAUCCCAAGGCUCAACCUUGGAACUGCCUUUGAUACUGUUUGUCUUGAGUUCGAGAGAGGUAAGUGGAACUGCGAGUGUAGAGGUGAAAUUCGUAGAUAUUCGCAAGAACACCAGUGGCGAAGGCGGCUUACUGGCUCGAAACUGACGCUGAGGCGCGAAAGCGUGGGGAGCAAACAGGAUUAGAUACCCCAGUAGUCCCUGUCUCUUAUAU
rnacentral:rRNA from 1 species